rnacentral:rRNA from 1 species
AAUUCGAAGCCUGUCAGCGAGUAGGUUCUCGUAGAGGGCGCGAGUAGAACUGCGCGGCUGGCAGUCCGAAUGUAGUGAUAGAGUCUCGUAGAGGGGGGUAGAAUUCCAGGUGUAGCGGUGAAAUGCGUAAGAUGAUCCGGGAGGAAAUAACCGGUGGCGAUGGGCUGGCCCCCCCCUUGGGACCGAAAGAACUGAUCGCUCAUGGGUGGCGAAAAGCGUUGGUGGGAUGCAAAGCAGGGAAUCAGACUACCCGUGGUAGUUCACGCUGUAAACGAUGUCGAUUUGGGAGGUUGUCGCCCGUGAGGCGUGGCUUCGGGAGCUAACGCGUUAAAUCGACCGCUGGGGAGUACGGCCGCAAGGUUAAAACUCAAAUGAAUUGACGGGGGCCCGCACAGCGGUGGAGCAUGUGGUUUAAUUCGAUGCAACGCGAAGAACCUUACCUACUCUUGACAUCCAGAGAACUUUCCAGAGAUGGAUUGGUGCCUUCGGGAACUCUGAGACAGGUGCUGCAUGGCUGUCGUCAGCUCGUGUUGUGAAAUGUUGGGUUAAGUCCCGCAACGAGCGCAACCCUUAUCCUUUGUUGCCAGCGGUUCGGCCGGGAACUCAAAGGAGACUGCCAGUGAUAAACUGGAGGAAGGUGGGGAUGACGUCAAGUCAUCAUGGCCCUUACGAGUAGGGCUACACACGUGCUACAAUGGCGUAUACAAAGAGAAGCGACCUCGCGAGAGCAAGCGGACCUCAUAAAGUACGUCGUAGUCCGGAUUGGAGUCUGCAACUCGACUCCAUGAAGUCGGAAUCGCUAGUAAUCGUAGAUCAGAAUGCUACGGUGAAUACGUUCCCGGGCCUUGUACACACCGCCCGUCACACCAUGGGAGUGGUUUUCUUAAAGACGUAGUUAGCUUAACGUUGGGGCGGGAGCAU